UGCAGCGACGCCGCGUGAGGGAUGACGGCCUAUCGGGUUGUAAACCUCUUUCAGCAGGGACGAAGCGUAAGUGACGGUACCUGCAGAAGAAGCACCGGCCAACUACGUGCCAGCAGCCGCGGUAAGACGUAGGGUGCGAGCGUUGUCCGGAUUUAUUGGGCGUAAAGAGCUCGUAGGCGGCUUGUCGCGUCGACCGUGAAAACUUGGGGCUCAACCCCAAGCCUGCGGUCGAUACGGGCAGGCUAGAGUUCGGUAGGGGAGACUGGAAUUCCUGGUGUAGCGGUGAAAUGCGCAGAUAUCAGGAGGAACACCGGUGGCGAAGGCGGGUCUCUGGGCCGAUACUGACGCUGAGGAGCGAAAGCGUGGGGAGCGAACAGGAUUAGAUACCCUGGUAGUCCACGCUGUAAACGUUGGGCGCUAGGUGUGGGGGGCCUCUCCGGUUUCCUGUGCCGCAGCUAACGCAUUAAGCGCCCCGCCUGGGGAGUACGGCCGCAAGGCUAAAACUCAAAGGAAUUGACGGGGGCCCGCACAAGCGGCGGAGCAUGCGGAUUAAUUCGAUGCAACGCGAAGAACCUUACCUGGGUUUGACAUGGCCGCAAAACUCACAGAGAUGUGGGGUCCUUCG
rnacentral:rRNA from 1 species